UACGUAGGGGGCUAGCGUUGUCCGGAUUAUUGGGCGUAAAGAGCGUGUAGGCGGCCAGGUAGGUCUGCUGUGAAAACUCGAGGCUCAACCUCGAGACGUCGGCGGAAACCAUCUGGCUAGAGUCCGGAAGAGGAGAGUGGAAUUCCUGGUGUAGCGGUGAAAUGCGCAGAUAUCAGGAAGAACACCCGUGGCGAAGGCGGCUCUCUGGGACGGUACUGACGCUGAGACGCGAAAGCGUGGGGAGCGAACAGG
rnacentral:rRNA from 1 species